rnacentral:tRNA from 1 species
GAGCAUAUAGCUCAGUGGUAGAGUGCAUGUCUAGCAUGCAUGAGGUCCUGGGUUCAACCCCCAGUACCUCCA